rnacentral:lncRNA from 1 species
AUGGCGCUCUCGGAAACCUCUCCCACCCUUGGGUGACUCCCUGUUCUAUGUUUCUCUGACAGUGUUUCCUCUGAAUGUGGAUGGUGGUUUUUCUCGUAGAUUCCUCCAAGUUGUUCAGGAUCACUGCACACUAGUGGAGCAGUCGGAUUAUUAUUUUCAAAUGUAAUGUCAGCUUCAUUUUCUUACCCAAGGAACUGAAGUAUGGUGAGACUGACCACCAUGGAUUUAAAUUUUUCUAUAUGGACAAUUAUUUUACCUAAUAAAUUCUGCUUUUUCAGUUCUUUCUCUUAAAACAUUCAGGAAAAUCCUGAUUUGGUUCUAUGUUCUUUUAGGAGAACACAGGAUAAUUGCUAUUGCAAAACUUUGGGUCAGUUUGUACAGACUUGACAGAGGAUAGGAGGGGGUAGGAGGGGGUAAUCAGUGAUCACAU